UAUUUUCUUGCAGAGCCUCCAGGAUUAUAGCAGAUUUAAUUUGGAAUAUCCUGAUAAUUAGCAAGGAAAUUGAUUUACAUAAUUAUUAAGGACAGAAGUUCCAGAAGAAAAUAUCAACAUAUUUGGAAGAGAUGAUACUAUGGGCCACAGCAAUUUUACCUUGUUUGAAGAACUGUUAUUAGAUAUAUUGAAUGAAAUAAACUGAAUCUGUGAUAUAUUUUAUAUUUUUAUGGUUAUUUUUUUAAUUAUGUUGAUUGUUAUACAUUUUUAUUUAGAACAAACAUGUUAUGAAAAUGCAAUUUAUUUUAUAAUAAAAAUCAUUUGUAUAAAAUUAUUACUUCA
rnacentral:lncRNA from 1 species